rnacentral:rRNA from 1 species
CAGCCGCCGCGGGAAUACGAAGGGUGCAAGCGUUAAUCGGAUUUACUGGGCGUAAAGGGCGUGUAGGCGGCCUGGGGCGUCCCAUGUGAAAGGCCACGGCUCAACCGUGGAGGAGCGUGGGAUACGCUCAGGCUAGAGGGUGGGAGAGGGUGGUGGAAUUCCCGGAGUAGCGGUGAAAUGCGCAGAUACCGGGAGGAACGCCGAUGGCGAAGGCAGCCACCUGGUCCACUUCUGACGCUGAGGCGCGAAAGCGUGGGGAGCAAACCGGAUUAGAUACCCCGGUAGUCCCUGUCUCUUAUAC